rnacentral:rRNA from 1 species
UGAGGAAUAUUGCGCAAUGGGCGAAAGCCUGACGCAGCAACGCCGCGUGGAGGAUGAAGGCUUUCGGGUUGUAAACUCCUUUCAGGAGGGAAGAAGUAGAUUGGGCAACCAGUCGGACGGUACCUCCAGAAGAAGCCACGGCUAACUCUGUGCCAGCAGCCGCGGUAAGACAGAGGUGGCAAGCGUUGUUCGGAUUUACUGGGCGUAAAGGGUGCGUAGGCGGUUGAAUAAGAUGUGCGAGAAAGCUCACGGCUUAACCGUGAAAGUUCGUACAUGACUGUUUGACUAGAGAAUGGGAGAGGAAAGCGGAAUUCCCGGUGGAGCGGUGAAAUGCGUAGAUAUCGGGAGGAAGGCCUGUGGCGAAGGCGGCUUUCUGGAACAUUUCUGACGCUGAAGCACGAGAGCGUGGGGAGCAAACAGGAUUAGAUACCCCCGUAGUCC